AUCUAGCUGAAAUCUGACUGACUUUUUUGCUGAUCAGCAUGGUUGCAAAGAGAGCUGCAUUGGGGUCUGUGGUUUUCUCCUGCACCACGUUGAUGCUCUCUGACUUUGGCCCUAGUGUGAUGCAGAGAACAUCCUCACUGCUCUCUGAGUCAGCUGACACAUUUUCCAUUGCCAGGACUCUGUUUCUCUUCCUGGUCCCUGCACUUUUGCAAACCGUAGAGAAGUGAAUGCUUUUUCCACAGGAUUUACAUUUUUGUCCAUAUGCAGGGCAUUUUUCAUUUUUUUCUCUCAUGUGUCCGUCCACAGUAUCUGCAUUGUAUAAUGCUCUGUCCCUCAGUAGGGUCUCCUCUCCCUUUUGGUCUCUCUUCCUGUGUUAUUGCAUGCACUGCUACAGGGCCCUGCACAUUUAUGACAGUCCUGCAGCUCCUCCAAUCUGUAUGCAUUUCUCUAAACUAAGAUCAGUCUCUCUGAGCAAGCGCUCUCUUAGGCCACACACAAUCCUGUCCCUGAUAAGAGAGUCUGUGAUUACUCCAAAGUCGCAGGUGGCCACUAGAGUCCUCACUUCAUUGAGAUAUUUGUCUAAACUCUCAUCUUGGCCCUGACUUCGCAUUAAAAAAUUAUCUCUCAAUUGUUUCAUUUUUCUUGGGAUCACAAAAUGCAUCCAGUGCUGCAAUUACUUCUUCAACAAAGAGAUUGUCUUUUGUACUGCCCACACAUAGGGUCUCACAAAUCUCUCUGCCUUUUUCCCCAAUGAGAUAAUAGAGUAGCUUCACUUUGUAGUCAUCACGUUUUUCUCUCAUUGUAAGAGCCAUGUACAAAUUCAAUUCCUCUUUCCAUCUUUUCCAGGUCAGUGCUAAAUUACAAUCAUCAAAGUCUAUUUUUCCCGUAGGUUUCAGUGCAUUUUCCAUGGCGAUUUAGUUGUAGAAUGGAACGUUAGCUACUCACGAAUCUGCUUGUAUCCAAUAGCCAGCUAGCUUUUAGCACAGAGUCACUCACGAUAGCCAGUUAACGUAGACGUUCGGCGCGAUGACUAGCCUGUAAACGCGGCACUUUUUCAAACUGUCGCCUGGGAUGUAUUCUUCAUUUACAUCGAUGAGAUACAGGUUCUUUUGAGUACCGCUGCCACCAUGUUUCAAUAUGCUUUGUGUUGUAGUCAUGACAGACAAAGAUAUAUAGUUAAGCAAACUUUACUAGGCAUGUUGUCGACCAGCACAUUAAUAAAGUAAGUAACAACCGGUUUCCGUUUCCUGUGUAACAUCAAUAUGAGUAACAUCAAUAUUGCUACAUCUGUAAUAGAAUACAAGUGUUAAAAAAACAAAUAUAGACAUUAAUAAAUGCAUUUCUGUCGCUUCCAAAAUAUUUUUUACAAUGGUGGGUGAGUGCCAAGAUGGAGGCACAGUGGCUUCAACACAACAAGCCUAUCAGUCCUCUAGUGUAUAUAUAAAUCGUUGGGUGAAACAUCUGGUUCAUUGUUCUAUCCGUGUUGUUAAUGCACAGAUUAUCCACUAUAUAGUCUACCACAGUAAGAGUCAUAAUAGUCAUAAUACCCAUAAAACCUAUCGUUCAAACAUGUAAACGGUUUCAAUAAUUUUUCCACCAUUCUUUUUCCCAUAGGGGAUUUUAGAACCACUUCACAUGUAUGUCAUCUAGGCUUACCCUGGCGUGAUGUUUUGCUAAUCGUGUAAAUCUCUCUCGGACAAGGUCACUUAUCAAUAUCAUACAGAACUACACAUCCUGUCGCAAGCUUUGGCAUCAUCACUCAAGCCAGCGUUUCAGAGUAGGAAAAACAUCCACAUUUCUCCAUGUAAAUUCAUAUCGACAAGUAGCAAGUAACCUAGCAAGUAAAGUAAAAUAGAAUAAGUAGUAGAUAUUAAAGCUUUUUUGUAGUUUCUCAAUUAUAUAAUUGACAUUGUGUAUUUAUCGUGUGUAUUGUUGUUCAGCAUUUUUCAAAUUACCUACCUUAGCAUUUUUUUAUUACUAGUGUAACAGUGUAGGUUCCGUCCCUCUCUUCGCCCCAACCCGGGCUCGAACCAGGGACCCUUGCACACAUCAACAACUGACACCCCACGAAGCAUCGUUACUCAUCGCGCCACAAAAGCUGCGGCCCCCUGAUUGAAACGCUAUUAGCGCGCACCACCGCUAACUAACUAGCCAUUUCACAUCGGUUACACUAGGAUUUGUUUAAUUACCCUGGCCUAUAAAGCUAGCUAGCUAACCUUAGGUAUCUCUGUCGAUCAGAAGCAAGGAUGAUUCUGUGCUAUGUACCGGAUUUUAUCCACUACUCUGAUAAGCACACAUGCAUUUUAUCGUUUUCCAACCUCUGUAAGCGAGAAGCGUCGCUGGAGCCGUGUGAUAUGCCCAACAGGAGAGCAUCCCUCAAGCCAUCUGGUACAUGGACAUUGUGUGCCAGUAUGAUCCGAGCGCAAGAGUCCAGUUGUAGUCUACAGCAGAUUGAGCAUGUGGAAGGACAGAUCAGUAACUCAUCAAAUGAGAAACAUUAUUGUGUAAAACAUUGAAUUUGUAGAUUUUGAGAUUUGUCUCCCUUUUUUCCCGUUUUAGACAUUUGAUUUUUGUAUUUUUUUUCCCCCUUAUUUUACCAGGUAAGUUGACUGAGAACACAUGAGGCGUGACACACGGAACAUCUUCAGGCUCCCUCCAUGAGAAGCAUUGCAUGAUGUUCAAAGCCACCCCCGGCAAGGAUAUCUGUUGGAAAUGAUGGCUCUCCCAUCUUUAGAUGUACUCUAUACAACUCUGUGUCCUAUCCAUCCAGCUCUACUUACUUCUUAUUAGGAGUUCAAUGAAAACAUUGAACUUCCAGGUGUAGCAUGGUUCAUUCUGAGUUGUGUACUUUUAAUGAGGACACUGCCACAACUGGAAGUCUGCUGGUUGGAUUAUUUUAAUGAGGACACUGCCACAACUGGAGGUCUGCUGGUUGGAUUAUUUUAAUGAGGACACUGCCACAACUGGAGGUCUGCUGGUUGGAUUCUUUUAAUUAGGACACUGCCACACCUGGAGGUCUGCUGGUUGGAUUCUUUUAAUUAGGACACUGCCACAACUGGAGGUCUGCUGGUUGGAUUAUUUUAAUGAGGACACUGCCACAACUGGAGGUCUGCUGGUUGGAUUAUUUUAAUGAGGACACUGCCACAACUGGAGGUCUGCUGGUUGGAUUCUUUUAAUUAGGACACUGCCACACCUGGAGGUCUGCUGGUUGGAUUCUUUUAAUUAGGACACUGCCACAACUGGAGGUCUGCUGGUUGGAUUCUUUUAAUGAGGACACUGCCACAACUGGAGGUCUGCUGGUUGGAUUCUUUUAAUGAGGACACUGCCACAACUGGAGGUCUGUUGGUUGGAUUCUUUUAAUGAGGACACUGCCACAACUGGAGGUCUGUUGGUUGGAUUAUUUUUAUUUGCCCUGCACACGAAGAAACAACACACAAUAUUUUAGCCCUUGGCGCAGUCACAGCUCUCAGGCACCUGCGCAAGCACAUGGACACUCACUCAAACACUGUCCCAAGUACUCACAAGUUACAAUAGGUACCCUAGUUAGCGAGCUCGGUGAAACUUGUUACCAUAAAUCUUUAUAUUUUCCACAUUGUAACAAACGUAUGGUAGCGUAACAGCACAUUGUGUAACAUUACCACGGUUUUAUAUUGAACAAUAGCGGAGCCAAGGACAACAUACCUCGCUAAGCCGAAGGUCAGGCAAAAGAGAACAAUAAGGAGGUACGGAAAUACAGAUAACCCUCGAUGGGCCAAACCAAAAUAUACAAAACUUUUACAAUCACUUGUAUGUACAAUAUUGAUAUGAAAAACUGUUUGUACACCAAAAAAUAACAUUAGCUAUGCAGCUGUAAUUAAAUAUAAAAAAACACACAGAAUUAUUUUUAUUAUUAUCAAAUGAUUAACAUCCCCUCUUGACCUGGCCUAUUUGAAUUGGUCCUUGUGUGCAACUUGGUGCAUAAUCUAGGGGAACAACAUCACACUGCUACACAGGCACCUCCACCAUGGCACAGUUCCAGAAUGUUCUCACUGAGGUGCAUCUUGUGGGCUCAAUGUUUUUCCCAUACAAACCACAGAAACGGUUUUGUUCCACGAAUGCAUCUGUUGUACAUGACUAAUCAAAUUACCUGUGACGUCAGUUAGACACGUCAGUCCCUUUCAGAUGAUUCCUCAACCACUGUUGCUCCUCCUUGGUGAUUUUACGGCUCAGAGUGUUUUAACUUUGCUCUUGAGAAUUUUUAUCAUAAGUACAGUCGUAUAGCUCAUUGCAAGACUUCACCUCUUUUGGACAAAUAGUACCCUUGACUGUCCUGAUCAUCUAGUUAAGCAUUCCAGAUAAAUCCUCCAUCCCAGCAGGAAUGUCCCAUCCACAUAAUGAUAUAUGAUUUUCCAGCUCAGCAUUCUUAGGUGUUAUUCUGUGUUCUAUGAAAAUGGAGUGAGUCAACUCAUUGUCCAGUGAGUGAGGCUUGCCUACAUAGUGCUUAGUUAGUAGCCUAGUUGUGGUUCACUUCCACUAGAAGGUCCUUGUUAUUCCCACCAGGUGUUUCUUCAGGCUGUUGGGGAUUGCCUCAACAUUUUUCCCACACAAACCACAAAAACAGUUUUGCUCCACUGAGUGCAUCUGUUGAACAGGAUUUUUUCACCUGACUUUGAAAAUACAAAUGGGAAGGAUCAUACAAAUCAAGACUAUGAAUGCAUUUAGCUCUAUGACAGUGGUUCCCAACCAGAGGUACUAGGAUCCCUGAAGGUACUUGGCCUAUCCACAGGGGGUACUUAAGAAGACUCAUGAGGCCAUAGCCCUACUGGUAAAAUGCAUAUGAGGGGGUACCCUGGGCAGAGCAGAAUUCAGUUGGUCGUACAGUACAGUAACCGAAAAAGGUUGGGAACUACUGCUCUAUGACAGAGCACUCCUAAAAAGUAAAUACUGUGUAUUGGUAGAUUUGUCUCUGGAUGUCUAAAUAAUAAAUUCAAACAUUUCUGAAUGUGAAUAUAUGUCAAUAGAUGUUUUGAUUCAUUCUCAUCAAUGACAACAUUCUAGAAAUGAGUUAUCACUCAUCUAAGUCUGGUAUCCGGGGUAACCUGGUUAAUGAUUAUGUAAAUCUUUCCUUGUAGAAUGUUGACAGCUGUAUAGAACACAUUGUAUUGCUAAGACGCUCAAACUUCAGUUAAUAGCUACACUGACCGACACAGGAUAAACUUUAUCCUUCACGCUGGCCCUGACCAAACCAGUAAGUUGCCCCUCAUUAUGUUGAAAUGUUUGCUGUUACUUUCACAAAUUUAAAUGCAUAUGCCCUAUGUGGUAAAUCUAUAUUCUAUCUAAUACUACAAUUAUUGCUAGCAUUUCAUCAUUCCAUCCCCUUACUGUUUAUUGCAACACGUAGACAUUUCUGUUUCAUGUUUAAUAGGCCUAUGAUACAUUUUCAUUUAGCCAACCAUUUCUUACCCUGCUCUGAGUGGGCAUGGUGUUUAUAGUGCACAUGAACAUAUGCAAGAUUCAGGUAGAAGUUCUGUUUAUUCAAUUCAAUGUAUGGUUUCCUAUGUUCAUAUUUCCCGGAUUAUUUCCGUGUAUCGGUGUCCCAUUUCUCUGUCAUUUUUGUUGUGCUCAGUGUUGUCAGGUCAAGCUAAAAUUUCUAGCCCAUGACUGCUCAGAACCCACCCACAAGCCCUGAAAACUAGGCACAUUUUUCAGCAGCAAGAGAGGAGUUUACACAUUUAUCCAAUAGGUGUAUCCAUAAUAACAAUCUAAAUACUUUCUUGUGAAAUGGUGUUAGUAAAUGGUUAAGAGGUAUGUUCAGAAAACAUUUUUGUGAAAUGGUGUUAGUAAAUGGUUAAGAGGUAUCUUCAGAAAACAUUCUUGUGAAAUGGUGUUAGUAAAUGGUUAAGAGGUAUCUUCAGAAAACAUUCUUGUGAAAUGGUGUUAGUAAAUGGUUAAGAGGUAUCUUCAGAAAACAUUCUUGUGAAAUGGUGUUAACUUAAUGUUAAUCAUUGUGAAAUAGUGUUAAUACAAG
rnacentral:lncRNA from 1 species